AGGGAAGAGGAGAAGGCACAGCAGUUGACGUCAUCACCAUGAUCAGCUAUUGUAUGAAUUAGUUUCACCAUGUUCUUUAUUUGAAGUAAAUACCCUGCAUUUUUAAGUAGACAAAGCCCGCGACUUACACCCCCACUCUGAGAGCCAGCCGGGCCUCAGCUGACUGAGCUUCCCAGGCAGGAGCGCGGCCUCGGCGUCUGGCGCCCGCUCCGCGGCGCGAGGAGAGCAGGCGGGGCCCUCGGGGGCGCGGGCACCGGGGCGCGGCCAGGGCGCAGCUGGCCUUGUACGCGACGCCACUGGGCCCCGCCCGGCUCCCGAGCCGAGGCCGCACAACCGUGCCUCGUUCCCGCAAGGUCCCGGCGGGUCCCUGUCCUGCGCUGAGAACCAGACUCCGAGACACGGAAGGUUCGGACACCCGGAGGCGGGAGGCUCCUUGGGCUGACGCCAGCCACGCUCCCGGACCUGCCGCCGCUGCCCCUAAACUGGCCCUCGGGCGCCGCCGUUUCCACCUGGAACACGCAGCUGGCGAGGGAUCCGUGACCCACAGACCUGGAUCACAUACAGCAGCUGAGAGGAGCCUCACAAGCAAGUCUUGUACUUCACCCAUGCUGUCCCCUAUAUUUAGCAAUCCCUCUUGAAGGACACUCAGGUUUGGAACAUCAAUAUUCACAUCAAAGCCCAA